CUAUAGCUCAGCUGGUUAGAGCGCACGCCUGAUAAGCGUGAGGUCGAUGGUUCGAGUCCAUUUAGGCCC
rnacentral:tRNA from 1 species